UAGAGAUCAAGUUAUACACUCACGGACCAGCACUAUUGGAAAUACUGGUCAUCUUGAUUAUGAGAACCUUGACAAAUUCAUAAAGAAACUCUGCGCUGAAACAAUACUGCCUCUAUUUAAUGAUUUACAUUUAACUUUUCCCAUACCCUUCUGGAUUCUUGGAUCCAAGAUAAGCUUUAAAACGGACACUGUUCAGAUUCUUCCAUAAGAAGGACAAUGUGCAAAUCAGCUGACUUCUGGAAUUCAGAAUUGAUAAACUAUUCAAGAACAACAUAUAAAGUUAC